rnacentral:rRNA from 1 species
AAUUAGCGGAUGACCUGUGGCUGGGGGUGAAAGGCCAAUCAAACCGGGAGAUAGCUGGUUCUCCCCGAAAGCUAUUUAGGUAGCGCCUCGUGAAUUCAUCUCCGGGGGUAGAGCACUGUUUCGGCUAGGGGGCCAUCCCGGCUUACCAACCCGAUGCAAACUGCGAAUACCGGAGAAUGUUAUCACGGGAGACACACGGCGGGUGCUAACGUCCGUCGUGAAGAGGGAAACAACCCAGACCGCCAGCUAAGGUCCCAAAGUCAUGGUUAAGUGGGAAACGAUGUGGGAAGGCCCAGACAGCCAGGAUGUUGGCUUAGAAGCAGCCAUCAUUUAAAGAAAGCGUAAUAGCUCACUGGUCGAGUCGGCCUGCGCGGAAGAUGUAACGGGGCUAAACCAUGCACCGAAGCUGCGGCAGCGAACGUAUCACCCAAGACAACUUUACGGAGUUGACGAUUGACGGAGCGAAGCGACGUCAAAGCGUUCAUUAAAGUCGAGUUGGCUUAGGGAUACGUUCGUUGGGUAGGGGAGCGUUCUGUAAGCCUGUGAAGGUGUGUCGUGAGGCAUGCUGGAGGUAUCAGAAGUGCGAAUGCUGACAUAAGUAACGAUAAAGCGGGUGAAAAGCCCGCUCGCCGGAAGACCAAGGGUUCCUGUCCAACGUUAAUCGGGGCAGGGUGAGUCGACCCCUAAGGCGAGGCCGAAAGGCGUAGUCGAUGGGAAACGGGUUAAUAUUCCCGUACUUGGUGUUACUGCGAAGGGGGGACGGAGAAGGCUAUGUUGGCCGGGCGACGGUUGUCCCGGUUUAAGCGUGUAGGUGUGUGUUCCAGGUAAAUCCGGUUCACUUUAACACUGAGGCGUGACGACGAGGCACUACGGUGCUGAAGCAACAAAUGCCCUGCUUCCAGGAAAAGCCUCUAAGCAUCAGGUAACAUCAAAUCGUACCCCAAACCGACACAGGUGGUCAGGUAGAGAAUACCAAGGCGCUUGAGAGAACUCGGGUGAAGGAACUAGGCAAAAUGGUGCCGUAACUUCGGGAGAAGGCACGCUGACACGUAGGUGAAGUGAUUUACUCAUGGAGCUGAAGUCAGUCGAAGAUACCAGCUGGCUGCAACUGUUUAUUAAAAACACAGCACUGUGCAAACACGAAAGUGGACGUAUACGGUGUGACGCCUGCCCGGUGCCGGAAGGUUAAUUGAUGGGGUCAGCGCAAGCGAAGCUCCUGAUCGAAGCCCCGGUAAACGGCGGCCGUAACUAUAACGGUCCUAAGGUAGCGAAAUUCCUUGUCGGGUAAGUUCCGACCUGCACGAAUGGCGUAAUGAUGGCCAGGCUGUCUCCACCCGAGACUCAGUGAAAUUGAACUCGCUGUGAAGAUGCAGUGUACCCGCGGCAAGACGGAAAGACCCCGUGAACCUUUACUAUAGCUUGACACUGAACAUUGAGCCUUGAUGUGUAGGAUAGGUGGGAGGCUUUGAAGUGUGGACGCCAGUCUGCAUGGAGCCGACCUUGAAAUACCACCCUUUAAUGUUUGAUGUUCUAACGUGGACCCGUAAUCCGGGUUGCGGACAGUGUCUGGUGGGUAGUUUGACUGGGGCGGUCUCCUCCUAAAGAGUAACGGAGGAGCACGAAGGUUGGCUAAUCCUGGUCGGACAUCAGGAGGUUAGUGCAAUGGCAUAAGCCAGCUUGACUGCGAGCGUGACGGCGCGAGCAGGUGCGAAAG